GACGCUNANACACGAAAGCGUGGGGAGCAAACCGGAUUAGAUACCCGGGUAGUCCACGCCCUAAACGAUGGAUACUAGAUAUAGGGGGUAUCGACCCCUCCUGUGUCGGAGUUAACGCGAUAAGUAUCCCGCCUGGGGAGUACGGCCGCAAGGCUAAAACUCAAAGGAAUUGACGGGUCCCCGCACAAGCGGCGGAGCGUGUGGUUUAAUUCGAUGAUAAGCGAAGAACCUUACCUGGGCUUGACAUGCAUUUGCCAGCCCGUGAAAACGGGUCUUCUUUCGAGACAAGUGCACAGAUGUUGCAUGGCUGUCGUCAGCUCGUGCCGUGAGGUGUUGGGUUAAGUCCCGCAACGAGCGCAACCCUCGUCGUUAGUUACUAUGUCUAGCGAGACUGCUCCUAAAAGGGGAGAGGAAGGUGGGGACGACGUCAAGUCGGCACGGCUCUUACGCUCAGGGCUACACACACGCUACAAUGGUCGGAACAGAGGGUCGCGAUGGCGCGAGCCGGAGCUAAUCCCAAAAAUCCGGCCCCAGUUGGAAUUGCAGGCUGAAACCCGCCUGCAUGAACGCGGAGUCGCUAGUAAUCGCAGGUCAGCACACUG
rnacentral:rRNA from 1 species